GCAGAUCCCGGCGAAGGAUGUCUAGCCUGCUGGCAGUCCCAUUAACUGGAGCUGUUUUCCGGAAUACAGCAACUGUAAACGUAACUUCUACAAAGAUGGAGGUUGCUUCUGGCUCAUCAGCCAUCGUUGAUGUGCCACAGACCUGAGGGCACAUGACCCAGGAAUGUGCAUCCAAAGAUAAUACUACCUUCAGAGAACUCUACUUAUAGG